rnacentral:tRNA from 2 species
GGGCCCAUAGCUCAGCGGUUAGAGCAGUGGACUCAUAAUCCAUUGGUCGUAGGUUCAAAUCCUACUGGGCCCA